GUCCUAUCAUACACUUUAUCUCAAGUCUUGAUGAUUUAUGACCCUGAUUUAUGGCCUGAUUUAUGGCCGUACAGUCCGUGUAGAUUGACAGGUAGUCAGAAGUGUGCAUGGUCAGUUUGGAUUGAUUUAUGACUAUAUGGCCUGUCAGUCAAAGCGGUUGCCAUGCCACUGGGUCCUGUGACCCUUGAUUGACAUGGCAGAGGUGUGUAAAUCAAAAGAUCAAAGAGAUCUCAGAUUUGACUUGUGUUGUGUUUAUUACUGGAUAUAUGAUGGUUGUAUCUGUUACCAGAGCAGUGGGGGAUUUCUUAUGAUGGUUGUAUCUGUAACCAGAGCUGUGGGGGGUUUCUGUGAAGUUCCUUUCUGGCUUGUUGUUCACACCUAAACACAGUGGGAGGUGUUUGGGUUCUUCCUGGGAAAAAAAAAUGGCUGUGCAAAAGUGAGGGUUUUGACGUCUUGACAGGAUCAAUGUUUGUUUGAUCUAUAUGGUGUUGAUACCUAGGCACCAACAGGCCACAUGCUCCCCGUCUACAAACACAUUUGAAAAGGAGGACGAUGUCUGGUGUCUUUCCAGGGACAAAAACAAUCCCCAAGGAUUUUGGAUAUUGCCAUCAUUGUUCCCCAUAACAUGGGGUAUACCUGAACCACACAAACACACACACACACAUACACAGUAAAACUGAGUAAACUAAAUUUUAUUUAUGAGCAAAUUCGUAUUUGUUGUUUUUACUUUGUGUUAUGUAAGAAAUGUUUUAAUUUAAUAAUCUAACCUGUAGUAUGUGUACUGUAAAUGAACAAAUAUACAUUUAGCUUAAACUCAGUAAAAUAAUUACACCUUCCAUUUUAAACAUGUUUAAAAGAUUACACAUUGUGUGUCACUAAAGCAAGGCACACUGUCUAUUGUCUUAAAAAAUGUUUAAAUAACCUGAUGACCAGCAUUGUUUCUUUAGAUCAUUUAUGCACACAAGUGCUUUUUUCGCACGAGUAGAAAACUCUUUGGAUGUGUUUGGCAAAAACAUCAUUUCUACAUCUUAAAUGCAUGACUGAACUUUUCUCAUUCGACAGAAAUACUAUUUUCUAAUUAUUUACCCGGCCUAUAACACUUGGUGUAAAUGUUCUUACCUAGAACAGAAAACAUACACUUUGACUAUUUGACUAUUUUGUAGGCAUCAUGUAAUGUUAAAUGGUUUACAAAAAAAAAUUUAGCACCAGCAGCUGUGAUUUUCAAAAUGAAAGAAAUGUACAAGCUAAGGAUGUUUCAACUAUUAUCAUCAUUUCCUUUUGACUCUGAUAACCUGGUAAUGAAUUUUCUAUGCAAGUGACACGAUAUACAGUUCUCAUACUAUUUGUGUAGAUAGCUGUGCUAAAACAUUUAUGACUAUUUUUGCAUGCCAGCAGAUUAUGUCAAGGGUGUUUCACAUCUAAGAAUCACAAUGUUUUUUAAAUGACAUUUUUCUUACACCUCAAGAUUUAGCCAUAUCAAGAUUUUGGACGGCCGUUCACAAUUUGUUUGUUGGACUGUACGUUUUUAGGUGAUCUCUGUGUGGUGUCAUCAUAAUAGGAAUAAAUGAAAAUUAAGAAAUUAAGUUA